AAACGAUGUCUACUUGGAGGUUGUGGCCUUGAGCCGUGGCUUUCGGAGCUAACGCGUUAAGUAGACCGCCUGGGGAGUACGGUCGCAAGAUUAAAACUCAAAUGAAUUGACGGGGGCCCGCACAAGCGGUGGAGCAUGUGGUUUAAUUCGAUGCAACGCGAAGAACCUUACCUACUCUUGACAUCCUCAGAAGAGACUGGAGACAGUCUUGUGCCUUCGGGAACUGAGAGACAGGUGCUGCAUGGCUGUCGUCAGCUCGUGUUGUGAAAUGUUGGGUUAAGUCCCGCAACGAGCGCAACCCUUAUCCUUGUUUGCCAGCGAGUGAUGUCGGGAACUCCAGGGAGACUGCCGGUGAUAAACCGGAGGAAGGUGGGGACGACGUCAAGUCAUCAUGGCCCUUACGAGUAGGGCUACACACGUGCUACAAUGGCGCAUACAGAGGGCGGCCAACUUGCGAAAGUGAGCGAAUCCCAAAAAGUGCGUCGUAGUCCGGAUUGGAGUCUGCAACUCGACUCCAUGAAGUCGGAAUCGCUAGUAAUCGUAGAUCAGAAUGCUACGGUGAAUACGUUCCCGGGCCUUGUACACACCGCCCAAGCUUGA
rnacentral:rRNA from 1 species